CGCCUUGCCAGCCCGCUACAGAAACUCAAAGGAAUUGACGGGGCCCGCACAAGCGGUGGAGUAUGUGGUUAAUUCGAUGCAACGCGAAGAACCUUACCUGGUCUUGACAUCCCGGAGACCCUUAGGAAACUAGGGGGUGCUUCCAUCUGGAAGAAUCUGGAGACAGGUGCUGCAUGGCUGUCGUCAGCUCGUGUCGUGAGAUGUUGGGUUAAGUCCCGCAACGAGCGCAACCCUUGCCUUUAGUUGCCAGCAGUUCGGCUGGGCACUCUAAAGGGACUGCCGGUGUUAAACCGGAGGAAGGUGGGGAUGACGUCAAGUCCUCAUGGCCUUUAUGACCAGGGCUACACACGUACUACAAUGGCCGAUACAAAGGGCAGCGACACUGCGAGGUGAAGCCAAUCCCGUAAAAUCGGUCUCAGUCCGGAUUGGAGUCUGCAACUCGACUCCAUGAAGUUGGAAUCGCUAGUAAUCGUGGAUCAGCAUGCCACGGUGAAUACGUUCCCGGGCCUU
rnacentral:rRNA from 1 species